rnacentral:rRNA from 1 species
GAGAUCGAAUGGCUUAUCGAGUAAGAGGCAUAGAUCAUUUAAAAAAUAUCAUCGUUCCAUUUUUCAUAGAGUACCCGCUGCAAACUAAAAAGAAGCAUGACUUUAAAAAGUUUUGUGAAAUUUUAGAAAUGAUAAAAGCGGGCGAUCAUUUGCAACUUGAUGGAAUAGAAACAAUACGUGCAAUUUCCAAGCAAAUGAAUCGAGGUCAAUUAAGAUAAAGUCCGGCCUUUUUGGAAACAUUAAGGAUAAUCCGAGCGAAAUUCCUUGUCGGGUAAGUUCCGACCUGCACGAAUGGCGUAACGAAUUCCCCACUGUCUCGACCGGAGACUCAGCGAAAUUGGAUUCGCGGUGAAGAUACCGUGUACCCGCGGCUAGACGGAAAGACCCCGUGAACCUUUACUGUAGCUUGGCAUAGAUCAUCUGGAAUUUCUGUGUAGGAUAGGUGGGAGACUUUGAAGCCUGGGCGCCAGCUCGGGUGGAGUCAACCUUGAAAUACCACCCUGAAAUUUCGGCUGUUCUCACCAUAGGUC